UGGUUUUUGAAAUAAGCUUUGAAAUGCAGGGAUCUUGAAAGCUGUCUAGGAAUAAAAUAGCUUUUUAGAUGAGAUGGCUAGUUACAUCUAUGUAUUUAGAAUAGUUAAUAAUAUGCCUGCUUUUGGAUUCACAAGAUUGGCUUAUACCAAUUAUUUUUAAGAAUUAACAUUGGGUAGUUUAUUGAAUAAUCUGUUUAUCUUUUCAAUAGUUUCAUUGCUGCUCAGUCAAAAAUACAGUUUCUCAAUAUUAUUU
rnacentral:lncRNA from 1 species